UGGCGGUGACGAAAUCGUCCCGCGAUGUCAGCCCGAGGCAGAGCCGUACUCCUCGUGGGCACGGACCAGCGGCGGUUAGAGCGGAGCCACAAGGCGCGGCGGAAGGUGAGUCGAUGCCGGCCCGUCCUGCAUUGACAGCUUAUAGCCCCGUAGUCCGGCGCUCCGCACUGACCGAGGAAGAUGGGCAGCCAUUGCCCGGCGUGGCACACGCCACACGGCGGGGCCACCCGACCCGAGUGAUCCGUGCGGUGUGGACUGCACGCAGUGCUAGCCGUUACGGUGAUCUCGUGUCGGUGUGUGCCACUUGUGUGCCAGAGCUGCUGGG
rnacentral:misc_RNA from 1 species